rnacentral:rRNA from 1 species
GAUGAACGCUGGCGGCGUGCCUAAUACAUGCGAGUCGAGCGAACAGACGAGGAGCUUGCUCCUCUGACGUUAGCAGCGGACGGGUGAGUAACACGUGGAUAACCUACCUAUAAGACUGGGAUAACUUCGGGAAACCGGAGCUAAUACCGGAUAAUAUAUUGAACCGCAUGGUUCAAUAGUGAAAGACGGUUUUGCUGUCACUUAUAGAUGGAUCCGCGCCGCAUUAGCUAGUUGGUAAGGUAACGGCUUACCAAGGCAACGAUGCGUAGCCGACCUGAGAGGGUGAUCGGCCACACUGGAACUGAGACACGGUCCAGACUCCUACGGGAGGCAGCAGUAGGGAAUCUUCCGCAAUGGGCGAAAGCCUGACGGAGCAACGCCGCGUGAGUGAUGAAGGUCUUCGGAUCGUAAAACUCUGUUAUUAGGGAAGAACAAAUGUGUAAGUAACUAUGCACGUCUUGACGGUACCUAAUCAGAAAGCCACGGCUAACUACGUG